UACGUAGGUGGCAAGCGUUGUCCGGAAUUAUUGGGCGUAAAGCGCGCGCAGGCGGUCUUUUAAGUCUGAUGUGAAAGCCCACGGCUCAACCGUGGAGGGUCAUUGGAAACUGGGAGACUUGAGUGCAGAAGAGAAGAGUGGAAUUCCACGUGUAGCGGUGAAAUGCGUAGAGAUGUGGAGGAACACCAGUGGCGAAGGCGACUCUUUGGUCUGUAACUGACGCUGAGG
rnacentral:rRNA from 1 species